GAGCGGCGGGCGGAGCUGCGGAGAGAGCGCGCUGCCGAUUGGCUGCUGGCUGGCUGGCGUGGGCCGGCUACUGGGAUUGGCCCGUCCGCUCCGCCUCCCGCCCACUUAGGCCGCUUUCCUAUUGGAUGCACUCCCGGGACGUCCGGCCCCCUGCCUGAGGCCCCGCUGAUUGGCUGAUCUGACAGGCUACGGUCUUUUCCCCCGCUGGCGGCGAAGGCCCUGGCCUGCCCAUGGUUAAUGCAUCCGUUAGGCUCCGCGCCAGGCGCAGGUGAGAUAAGGCCUCCUACCCUAGAACUCGCGGCAGUCCCCCUGCCUCAGCCUCCCUAGAGUGGGGACUUACGGACUAAACCGACAAGUUUCGUGCCGGGAUUCCUGGAGAAAUGCCUGAAUCCAGGUCAAAGCUGGGAGAGAACAACACCUCUUGGAAGAAUAUGCUCCAGAAAGGGAGAAUCCCAAGACAAACCAGGUCCUUCCUAAAAGACCACUUACCAGACAAAAAAUCAUUCGUUGAAGAACGACUGGCAACAAGAGGAAACAACCGGGAACACCUAGACAUAUCUCUUACAUGAUUGUGAUUCCAAAUAAAUGGCAAGGCUGCGGCCAGCUAGGUGCAUCAUUGGUUAAAGGCACUUGUUACCAAGCCUGAAGACAGUCAUGUAUCCAGUAGCCACACAGUAGGAAAGAUCCAAUUGCUUCGGAUUUCCUCUGACCUCCGCAUGCCCACACAUAUACACACACAACAUUUUUUAAAUGCAUAAAUGUAAUAAGAGACUGAGAGAGGGCUGUUUUAGCUUAAGAGAAACUCAAAACAUGAUGACUAACUGUGAUUGUUUUUCUUUGAUUCUGAAUAACUCAAAUAGAAACAUUUUAGGGACAACUGAAAUUGAAUCUGAUAUUACACACUUGUUAAAUGAAUAGUGGUCUGUACUUGUGCAGAAAUGGGUUUAUUUUAUCAUGUAUAUUACAUAUUUAGGCUGACACAAUUGUUAUCUAUAAUAAAAUAAUUCAGAAAAAUAAAAAGACAGCUAAAUGCUAA